UCCCUGGUGGUCCAGUGGUUAGGACACAGUGCUCUCACUGCCAAGGGCCACGGUUUGAUUCCUGGUCAGGGAA
rnacentral:tRNA from 1 species